UUGAACGCUGGCGGCCUGCCUUACCCAUGCACGUCGAACGGUAACAGGUUAAGCUGACGCGUGGCGAACGGGUGAGUAAUGUAUCGGAACGUGCCCAGUCGCGGGGGAUAACUGCUCGAAAGAGCAGCUAAUACCGCAUACGACCUGAGGGUGAAAGCGGGGGAUCGCAAGACCUCGCGCGAUUGGAGCGGCCGAUAUCAGAUGAGGUAGUUGGUGAGGUAAAGGCUCACCAAGCCGAGUAGCUGUAGCUGGUCUGUGAGGAGGACCAGCCACAUGGGGAGGGAGACACGGCCCAUGCGCCUACGGGAGGGCGCAGUGGGGAACUUUGGACAAUGGGCGCAAGCCUGAUCCAGCCAUGCCGCGUGCGGGAAGACGGCCUUCGGGGUGUAAACCGCGUUUGUCAGGGAAGAAACGGUUCUGGCUAAUACCUGGGACUCGUGACGGUACCGGAAGAAUAAGCACCGGCUAACUACGUG
rnacentral:rRNA from 1 species